AGAAUCAACGCUGGCGGCGUGCCUAACACAUGCAAGUCGAACGAGAAAGUGGAGCAAUCCAUGAGUACAGUGGCGCACGGGUGAGUAACACGUGACUAACCUACCCUUGAGUUCGGAAUAACUUCGGGAAACCGAGGCUAAUACCGGAUAAUAUCUACGGAUCAAAGGAGCAAUUCGCUUAAGGAGGGGGUCGCGGCAGAUUAGUUAGUUGGCGGGGUAAUGGCCCACAAGACGAUGAUCUGUAUCCGGCCUGAGAGGGCGCACGGACACACUGGAACUGAAACACGGUCCAGACUCCUACGGGAGGCAGCAGUGGGGAAUUUUGCGCAAUGGGGGAAACCCUGACGCAGCAACGCCGCGUGGAGGAUGAAAUCCCUUGGGAUGUAAACUCCUUUCGAUCGGGACGAUUAUGACGGUACCGGAAGAAGAAGCCCGGCUAACUUCGCGCCAGCAGCCGC
rnacentral:rRNA from 1 species